rnacentral:rRNA from 1 species
CUAUUCCAUGGUUCCGUGCCGCAGUAACGCAUUAAGCGCCCCGCCUGGGGAGUACGGCCGCAAGGUAAAACUCAAAGAAUUGACGGGGGCCCGCACAAGCGGCGGAGCAUGCGGAUUAAUUCGAUGCAACGCGAAGAACCUUACCUGGGUUUGACAUACACCGGAAGCCUGCAGAGAUGUGGGUCUCUUUGAUACUGGUGUACAGGUGGUGCAUGGCUGUCGUCAGCUCGUGUCGUGAGAUGUUGGGUUAAGUCCCGCAACGAGCGCAACCCUCGUCCUAUGUUGCCAGCGGGUAAUGCCGGGGACUCAUAGGAGACUGCCGGGGUCAACUCGGAGGAAGGUGGGGAUGACGUCAAGUCAUCAUGCCCCUUAUGUCCAGGGCUUCACGCAUGCUACAAUGGCCGGUACAAAGGGCUGCGAUGCCGCGAGGCGGAGCGAAUCCCAAAAAGCCGGUCUCAGUUCGGAUUGGGGUCUGCAACUCGACCCCAUGAAGUCGGAGUCGCUAGUAAUCGCAGAUCAGCAACGCUGCGGUGAAUACGUUCCCGGGCCUUGUACACACCGCCCGUCACGUCACGAAAGUCGGCAACACCCGAAGCCGGUGGCCUAACCCCUUGUGGGAGGGAGCCGUCG